rnacentral:rRNA from 1 species
CGUAGGGCGCAAGCGUUGUCCGGAAUUAUUGGGCGUAAAGAGCUCGUAGGCGGCUUGUCACGUCGGAUGUGAAAGCCCGAGGCUUAACCUCGGGUCUGCAUUCGAUACGGGCUAGCUAGAGUGUGGUAGGGGAGAUCGGAAUUCCUGGUGUAGCGGUGAAAUGCGCAGAUAUCAGGAGGAACACCGGUGGCGAAGGCGGAUCUCUGGGCCAUUACUGACGCUGAGGAGCGAAAGCGUGGGGAGCGAACAGGAUUAGAUACCCUGGUAGUCCACGCCGUAAACGUUGGGAACUAGGUGUUGGCGACAUUCCACGUCGUCGGUGCCGCAGCUAACGCAUUAAGUUCCCCGCCUGGGGAGUACGGCCGCAAGGCUA